ACGGUGUCUUCGGACAUAGUGGCGCACGGGUGCGUAACACGCCUGCUACCUACCUUACAUUGGGGGAUAGCCUUUCGAAAGGGAGAUUAAUACCGCAUAAGACAGUAGCUGGGCAUCCAGCAGCUGUUAAAGAUUUAUCGAUGUAAGAUGGGCAUGCGACCAAUUAGUUAGUUGGCGAGGUAACGGCUCACCAAGACUAUGAUUGGUAGGGGAACUGAGAGGUCAAUCCCCCACACUGGCACUGAGAUACGGGCCAGACUCCUACGGGAGGCAGCAGUAGGGAAUAUUGGGCAAUGGACGCAAGUCUGACCCAGCCAUGCCGCGUGCAGGAUGAAGGCGUUAUGCGUCGUAAACUGCUUUUAUACAGGAAGAAACGACUCUUGCGAGAGGCAUUGACGGUACUGUAUGAAUAAGCACCGGCUAACUCCGUGCCAGCAGCCGCGGUAAUACGGAGGGUGCAAGCGUUGUCCGGAUUUAUUGGGUUUAAAGGGUGCGCAGGUGGUUUAUUAAGUCAGUGGUGAAAGACGGUCGCUCAACGAUUGCAGUGCCAUUGAAACUAGUAGACUUGAGUAAAGUAGAGGUGGGCGGAAUUGAUAGUGUAGCGGUGAAAUGCAUAGAUAUUAUCAAGAACUCCAAUUGCGUAGGCAGCUCACUUGGCUUUUACUGACACUCAUGCACGAAAGUGUGGGUAUCAAACAGGAUUAGAUACCCUGGCAGUCCACACUGUAAACGAUGAUAACUAGGUGUCGGCCGAAUCUGGUCGGUGCCACAGCGAAAGCGUUAAGUUAUCCACCUGGGGAGUACGCC
rnacentral:rRNA from 1 species